CAAGGUCUCCGUUGGUGAACCAGCGGAGGGAUCCCACUGAGUUAUCACAACUCCCAACCCAUGUGAACCUUACCAAUCGUUGCCUCGGCAGGGCCCCCUAAACCCGGGCCUUGCCGGCGGCCCCAACCAACUCUUGUUGUGUUGUGGCAUUCUGAGUAUCAAAAACAUAAUAGUUAAAACUUUCAACAACGGAUCUCUUGGUUCUGGCAUCGAUGAAGAACGCAGCGAAAUGCGAUACGUAAUGUGAAUUGCAGAAUUCAGUGAAUCAUCGAAUCUUUGAACGCACAUUGCGCCUAUUAUUAUUCUAGUAGGCAUGCCUGUUCGAGCGUCAUUUCAUCCCUCAGGCCCCCGUGGCCUGGCGUUGGGGCCUGCCGUAUAACGCAUCCCUGAAAGAUAGCUGGCGGAGUCGGGAUGCACUAUAAGCGUAGUAUACUUUUACAAGUCUCGCUUGUGCGUCUCCCCGCGCCCCUGCCACUAAACCCCCCAAAUUUCUAUGGUUGACCUCGGAUCAGGUAGGAAUACCCGCUGAACUUAAGCAU
rnacentral:rRNA from 1 species